CUCUAUAUCUCCAUGGCCUAGCACAGGGUUUAGAGUAGAGCUGAGGAGGAAUACUUGUACUUUUCUCUUUUCCCCAUAUUGAGAUGGUUCUUCUGGGUUGUGAAAUACCUUAGAAAAGGUUAUAUUUUCAGCAAUUCAGUCUAGUGGAGACCUAGCAGAAUGCUAGGGUCAGCCAGAUCUUGGCGAUUUAGACUAGAGCCAAAGCAGUUAUUAAAGAUAAUCUUUUCUGAUUAUUUUAAGCAGUAUGAUAAAUUCUAAGUAAACAUAAAUUUUCAAUAAUUACAGAGUGGGCAUUAGCUCUUCCUUUCUUUGUUCCUCUACAUCCAAGAAACUGGAUGCCAAUCCCAACCUCACUGAAUAAAUGUUUAAUAUGCUAGAAGCUGAGGGAAAUGCUUGUACUUUUCUCUUUUCCCCAUCUUGAGAUGGUUCUUCUGGGUUGUGAAAUACCUUAGAAAAGAUUGUAUUUUCAGCAAUUUAGUCUAGUGGAGACGUAGCAGAAUGCUAGGGUCAGCCAGAUCUGGGUAUAAUUGUAACUCUCGUGAUUUGAUAUCUUGGUAAUUUAGACUAGAGCCAGAGCAGUUUUUAAAGAGAAUCUUUUCUGAUCAUUUUAAGCAGCAUGAUAAAUUCUAAGUAAACAUAAAUUUUGAAUAAUUACAGAGUGGGCAUGAGCUCUUCCUUUCUUUGUUCCUCUACAUGCAAGAAACUGGAUGCCAAGCCCAACCUCUGGAUGAAGUGGGAAUCUGUAAGGAUGACGUACCUAAGUCUAAAUCAGACAAAAAGACACACACAAAAUACAUUUAUACAUUUUUAAAAAUGAAAAAAGUACAAUUUCCUAACACACAUCAGGGAAUAUAUUGCCUCCAAUGAGGUAAGAGUGGUUGGAGAGAAGAACAGACGGAAGAGGCAAGGAUGGGCCACCUGGUCUCUCCCUUGUCUGAACCUCAUGUCUCACUAGGUUGUCAUCCUUGAUGCUCAGACUUCACACGGAGGCUUCAGGACUCAGCCUGUGAAGUCAGAAAAAGUGGCUUCUUCCACAUCCUCUUCCCUGGAACACAAAGUUUUGCAUAAAGUCUGCCUCAACACAUCACCCCUCAUGUCAAUUCUUCCUCCACAGUUGAAUCAAAGAGCAAAAACACAUGAGCAGAGGCAUAUUAGUAAGAGCAAGGUUUUAAUACACACAAUUGGGAAAGAUAAGGACUCAUUGAGGAAUAUAGGCAAGGGGAAAAGUAACACCUGUAAAUAGUAGCGGGCAUCCUGUCAGUUCAAGUAUUAGAGAACUGGUUGGGGGCUUGGGGCAGCCAGGUUAACAGUCAAGCCAGGGAGAGCACAGCCGACACAUGCUGGUUUCCUCUACCUUCCAUAGGGGAAUAUCUCAAAUACACUGUGGUUCCAACUGGGCUUAUCAGCCUCCUCAUGUCCUCCAACACACAUACAAACACACAGGUUUGGGGCCUCCAGCUUCUAAAGGGAGAGAGCAGCUUAAAUUUAACUUAAAGAGACUGACCCCCUUCCUCAAGGGGCAAAGUUCAAAUAAGAGCAGGUCUUAUUUGUCUCUUAUUUGUCCUGCAUUGCACCAUCUGUGUGUACCAGGUGGACCUCAUGUGCUCUUGGUGAAUGGGGACCAUAAGUGUGGCCACUCACAGCAUUUGUGGUGCUGAACCCCAUCACACCAUUUGUUCAUUGUGCAGGUGGCCUUGGGUGUUUGGCUGCCAUGCCGGCACAUGAAGGCCUCUCAUUAUAGCUAUGGUGGCAUUCAUUGUAGAUGCACCACCUGUGUCCAGAUGGGCCAACCAUGGACUGAUGGAAAAAGGAAGCACAAGGGCCUCCGACAAUGGAAAUGAGUGUGCCUCCUCUUGGUGCAACACCUGGGUUCUGGAGCGGUGCAUGCCAGAUACUUGGCAUGAAGGUAGAACAAGCAGAGAUGUUGCUGGUGUUUGUAGCCACAACCAAUGUGGUAUGAGCAGGUGAACCCCAGGCUACCUGACUAAAUGGGGGAACAGACUGGUGUUGGUUGUUCUCCUCCAUCCUGGUACAGCUUUCAAUGUUCCUGAUGUUGAACUGGGGCCUGAGGCAGACAUGCUAACCCCUAUGUUCUCACAAUCUGUAGGGGUUCCAGGUCUCAUAAUCCCCAGUGGGACUAGAGUAGAAUUGCCAACCAAUGCAGUACUGUCGCCACUGCCAGGCAUGCUAGUGGCAACUUUAAAUACAGAAGACUUGGCUGUAGUAAUGAGGAAAGCACUUGAGUUGUUAAGCAUACGUGGCUGCACAUUGACAGGCAGGCCAAAUGUGGAAUAUGGUGAUGUCACACCAGUGAGAUCUGCUGCCAUGAUGCUGCCACUCACUGGGUGGCUGGGCUGCAGGAGACCUUAGGCUUAUGACUGGUGCUGGGGUUGCUGGGUUUCCCAGAAUGAGAGAAUCGUCUGACUUAUCCUGCCCAUGAGAAGCCCCAGAUAUGAGCUGGGAGGUGGCUCCUGGACUUACAGCAUGUGGAGAAGUUGCCAUCGAUCCCGUGACUGACUGCAGGCAAACUGGUGGAGACAUGGGCUGAAGUAAUGUUGCCACUGGGUUGGUUGUGAAUACCCAGAACCAAGGAGCCCCAGGUAAGGCACAGUGCACUUCUUCCAUGAGAUAGUGGCAGACUGGGAGAUGACAGCUUUUGAAUAAGGGUAGUAUCCACAGCACUGCUAUCAAUGGUAGGAAAAGAUGAUGAUGUUGCAGAGGUGCUGCUCCCUAAAGUGGAGGUGUCUGGAGGCAUCAUAAUGGGAUGGCUCAGAAUAACAGGGGUAUUAGGGACACAGGCUUUUCCUGCUUCCUGCUGGGGACCCCGAAUGUGAGUGGAGCAGUGGCUCCCAGAUUUAUAGUGUGGUUAGAAGUUGCCAUUGGUCUCGUGACUGGCUGUGCAGGCAAACUGGUGGAGAUGUGGGCUGAGGCAAUGCCCAAGUCAGGGGUGGGAGGAGGAGCUGGGACCUGGGAAGUGCAGGUGGCCAGGCACAGGGAGUAUGAAGUCUCUGCAGGUGGGGAGGUAGCAGGGGCAGGCUGGGGGGUGCUGCAGUUUGGGUUGGCCAAAUCAGGGGCUCCAAAUUUGGGCUGAGGGGUGGGGCUGGGGAAUAUAAAUGUAGCUGGGUGGAUGUAGACUGAAUCUUACCAGGGAGCCCCUGCUGUGCAUGGCUAUCUACUUGAGAAAUUGGGAGAGCUCUCAUCCUGGAGGUUGAGGAAGUUCUGAAAGUAACAGCCUUAGGAGGGGAAGUGGCGUCCUUGUUGAUGGCCUGAUGGUCUUAAGGAGGCUCCAAGAUCUGGUGGGCAGAUGUGUUUGCUGUGAUGGUGGAAAUGACUGCUGUGGAAUUCAUCUGCUUGCUGGUGGUAACAGAGAUCUGUGGAAGGUCCUGGAAGAAGGGUGGGAGAGGAAAGAGGAGGAGGGGAAAGCACACAGGGCUGGCUCUCUUCUGAAAGGAGGCUGGAAGGAGACAGGUGUGGGGCUAGAAAGUGUUGGGGGUCAGAAGUGAGAAGUGCUGAAGCUACUCCAGAAUGAGAAGAACCUCCUUUCUCAUUAGGUAGAACCUCCAAUAUAGGGACAAAGUCAGUGGAAAAAAAAGACAGUGGGGAGUUAGGGAUUUUGGAUAUUUUUGGUGAGGGGUCAGGUGGACAGACAGGCAGGGGGGUCUGGCAGCCAACUCGGCCAAGUCAAGGACGAACAGAGGAGCUGGGACCUGCGAAGUGUAGGUGGCCAGGGACAGGGAGUCUGAAGUCUCUGCAGGUGCGGAGACAGCAAGGGCAGGAUGAGUGGUGCUGCAGUUUACCUUGGCCUCCGUUUUAUCCUCCAAAGCCUCCAUUUUCUCCUUGAAGAAGUUUUCUCUUCUGUUUACACCCCAUGCUCUUCUCCAAGUUCCCCAGGUAUCCCUCAAUAGGCAGGUAGAGAAGCUUAGCAAGUGGAGAGAGCUCACCUCUAUCCCACAUCAAUCGCAGCGUGGGGCCAGCGGCAGCAGCGGUGGAAUCCACAUUUUCCUUUCACAGCGCCUGUUGCUGGCAGCUCUUGGGGGAGAAGAGCUCCAUGUUGGAAGAGCUGAAGGCUUCUUCUUUCCUGACAUCUGCAUCUCCUUCCUGGACAUCAGCAAGCUUGGAGAGCUGGGCGGGUGGUCUUCAUCCAGCACCUUCCGGGCCGCCUUCUCUGGCAGCAGGGAGCAGCCGGGGCUGGGGCCGGGGCCGGGGCCGGGACCACUGCAGAAGCCGGGUCAGCCUUCCCAAGGGGAAGGCCACUCCAGCAGGGCUGUAUGAGCUGGGGGCCUCAUGGCCCUCCCAGAAGGAGCUACUCACUGACUGGGCCUUCUCUCUGUAAAGAGUUUUUCCGACAAGUAGGGGUGGACAUUUCCCUGCAGAGGCCUGGGCCUGCACCCAAAGGAGGUGAGGCCUCCCUGGGUCUCCAGGGCCCUGGAUGUGGAUGACACUUCCUUCUGGCUACAGGGGCCCUUUUCUUGUCAUCCUGCUCCUGGGUCUCUCCGUGAUGCAUCUGCGUCACUGUUCUGGGCUCUUCUUUGGCCCUCCCCUCUGUCUCCUUCAGAAGCCUGGCUGCGACCUGCUCAAGUGGUGAAGGCAGUGGGUGGGCGACCUUGCAGCCAGGAGGAGGGUCCUCAGGGACCCUGGGUGCGGCAGCCUCCGGGAGUUCCCAACAGGCGGCUCGGAGGCCAUAGCCUGCAGGAACCCAAGAGGGUCGCCCUUGUAGUGUGGGAGAGGACAAGGGGUGCCACACAAGCUGCCUGGAGAUGAGGGCCUAGGAGGCCGCCGUGGGUUGAACAGGAAUCAGAAAAGGCCUGGGUGUCCCGGGCAGGCGCGGAGGCCUUGAGGGUGAGGGGUGGGCCCUGGCCUGGGAGCCUGCAGCGAGACCAGGGAAGAAACAUGUGAAGUAAAUUGCCAGUCUCCAGUGAGUUGUGCGCCUGUGAUACUGAGAAGAGGGACAGAAGCGGAAGUGACGCUCCUCUGUCAUCCGCUCUUUGGUGGCCGGGCAUCCCCUGGUAGCUGAGACUCAUGACAUCCCCAUGCGGAUCCUGACAGAGGAGGACGCCAGGGAGCGCGGGCCCAGCGAAGGCUCCUAAACAAGAUCAGCGAGAAAGGGCAAGGCCCCCUGCGGGGCCCAGCGAGACUCUCUAGCCCCGGGGACCCGGGGUUGUCCUGCUGCUGCAGAGGAACAGAAAUUGUCUUGUCAUUCUGUGUCCCUUGGGACUCCUAUUAUUACUGGCAGAUGGCAAACAGAAUGCAAAAGAAGUCCAUAUCUAGAGAAAUCCUGGUGGAAUUUUUCAAACUUCUAUGACAAAAAAAAGUCCGAUGAGUUUCUAGAUUUUAAAAAGUACUAAAUUACUUUUUAAAAAAUCAACUUUACAAACAACAUGAAAACAGAAUGUUUAAGAGGAAAAAUUAUGUGUAGCUUAUAAUAAUAAUUAUAUCCCAGUUUUCCUUACUUUACUGGAGUACAGAGAAAUGACUUUUUAAAAAGGUAUACAAGUUUUAUUAAAUAAAAGUCAAUGUGAGCUUCUUAA
rnacentral:lncRNA from 1 species